CAGCAGCCGCGGUAAUACGAAGGGGGCUAGCGUUGUUCGGAAUUACUGGGCGUAAAGCGCACGUAGGCGGAUAUUUAAGUCAGGGGUGAAAUCCCGCAGCUCAACUGCGGAACUGCCUUUGAUACUGGGUAUCUUGAGUAUGGAAGAGGUUAGUGGAAUUGCGAGUGUAGAGGUGAGAUUCGUAGAUAUUCGCAGGAACACCAGUGGCGAAGGCGGCUAACUGGUCCAUAACUGACGCUGAGGUGCGAAAGCGUGGGGAGCAAACAGGAUUAGAUACCCGCGUAGUCCCUGUCUCUUAUAC
rnacentral:rRNA from 1 species